rfam:Brachypodium distachyon strain Bd21 chromosome 3, whole genome shotgun sequence.
CUUAUACUCAUUCCGUCCAACAAAAGAUGUCUAAAGUUUGUUAAAAUUUGGAUAUAUCUAGACAUGACUCAGUAUAUAGAUGCAUUCAGAUUUAGUCAAAAUUGAGACAUCCUUUGUUAGACGGAGGAAGUAUCAA